GAUGAAGAACGCAGCAAAAUGCGAUACUUGGUGUGAAUUGCAGAAUCCCGUGAACCAUCGAGUUUUUGAACGCAAGUUGCGCCCGAAACCAUCCGGUUGAGGGCACGCCUGCCUGGGCGUCACGCAUCGCGUCGUCCCCCAACAUACUCUCCCUUUCUGGGUUGUCAUGUUGAUUGGGGACGGAGACUGGCCUCCCGUGCUUCUGGUGCGGUUGGCCUAAAUAGGAGGCCCCUUCGGUGGAUACACGGCUAGUGGUGGUUGUUAAGACCCUCGUAUUGUGCUGCGUGUUGUGAGCUGUUAGGGAAACCCUCACCAAAGACCCUAUUGUAUCGUCUUGGUACGAUGCUUCGACCGCGACCCCAGGUCAGGCGGGACUACCCGCUGAGUUUAAGCAUAUCAAUAAGCGGAGGA
rnacentral:misc_RNA from 1 species